GAUGAACGCUGGCGGCGCGCCUAACACAUGCAAGUCGAACGGUUAAAGCAUCUUCGGAUGUGUAUAAAGUGGCGAACGGCUGAGUAACACGUGGGCAACCUGCCCUUUGCACUGGGAUAGCCUCGGGAAACCGAGGUUAAUACCGGAUACUCCAUAUUUGUCGCAUGGCGAAUAUGGGAAAGCUCCGGCGGCAAAGGAUGGGCCCGCGGCCUGUUAGCUAGUUGGUGGGGUAGUGGCCUACCAAGGCAAUGAUGGGUAGCCGGGUUGAGAGACCGACCGGCCAGAUUGGGACUGAGACACGGCCCAGACUCCUACGGGAGGCAGCAGUGGGGAAUCUUGCACAAUGGGCGAAAGCCUGAUGCAGCGACGCCGCGUGCGGGAUGAAGGCCUUCGGGUUGUAAACCGCUUUCAGCAGGGACGAGGCCGCAAGGUGACGGUACCUGCAGAAGAAGCCCCGGCUAACUACGCGCCAGCAGCCGCGGUAAUACGUAGGGGGCAAGCGUUAUCCGGAUUCAUUGGGCGUAAAGCGCGCGUAGGCGGUCUGUUAGGUCAGGAGUUAAAUCUGGGGGCUCAACCCCUAUCCGCUCCUGAUACCGGCAGGCUUGAGUCUGGUAGGGGAAGAUGGAAUUCCAAGUGUAGCGGUGAAAUGCGCAGAUAUUUGGAAGAACACCGGUGGCGAAGGCGGUCUUCUGGGCCAUGACUGACGCUGAGGCGCGAAAGCUAGGGGAGCAAACAGG
rnacentral:rRNA from 1 species